rnacentral:rRNA from 1 species
UACAGAGGUGGCAAGCGUUGUUCGGAAUUACUGGGCGUAAAGGGCGCGUAGGCGGUCAGGUCAGUCCCGUGUGAAAUCCCUCGGCUCAACUGAGGAACCGCACGGGAAACUGCCUGGCUUGAGUUCGGGAGAGGGAAGCGGAAUUCCGGGUGUAGCGGUGAAAUGCGUAGAUAUCCGGAGGAACACCGGUGGCGAAGGCGGGUCUCUGGGCCGAUACUGACGCUGAGGAGCGAAAGCGUGGGGAGCAAACAGG